rnacentral:lncRNA from 1 species
AUGUGGCCUUUCUCAAUUUAGUGACAACUUCCCUUGUUCUCUGGGUUGGGAUAUUUUUGUCCUUUCGAGGAUGAGGUCUCCCACUUGAAAAAUCUUGCUUUUGAUAAUUGAGUUGUAGUAUUGGGUCACCUUUUGUUAAUAGACCACCAUCUGAAGUUGUGCACAUUCUCAGGUUUCCUCUAGCAAAUCCAGGUUCAUGCAAAGGCCC